rnacentral:rRNA from 1 species
GACGAAGGGGGCUAGCGUUGUUCGGAAUUACUGGGCGUAAAGCGAGUGUAGGCGGUUGCCCAAGUCAGGUGUGAAAGCCUUGAGCUCAACUCAAGAAAUGCACUUGAUACUGGAUGACUAGAGGACCGGAGAGGAUAGUGGAAUUCCCAGUGUAGUGGUGAAAUACGUAGAGAUUGGGAAGAACACCAGUGGCGAAGGCGGCUAUCUGGACGGUUACUGACGCUAAGACUCGAAAGCGUGGGGAGCAAACAGG